rnacentral:rRNA from 1 species
AACGAACGCUGGUGGCAUGCCUAAUACAUGCAAGUCGAACGCGAAAGCUUCUUCGGAAGUUAUUAGAGUGGCGCACGGGUGAGUAACACGUAGGUGACUUACCAAUCAGUUGGGGACAACAGGGAGAAAUCCUUGCUAAUACCGAAUGUGGUGCUGGAGUUUGAAUACCUAGCAUUAAAGAUGGCCUCUGUAUAUGCUAUCGCUGGUUGAUAGGCCUGCGGUCCAUUAGUUUGUUGGUGGGGUAACGGCCUACCAAGGCUUCGAUGGAUAACCGGUCUGAGAGGGUGAUCGGUCACACUGGAACUGAGACACGGUCCAG